rnacentral:rRNA from 1 species
CACAUGCAGUCGAACGGAAAGGCCCUUCGGGGUACUCGAGUGGCGAACGGGUGAGUAACACGUGGGUGAUCUGCCCUGCACUUUGGGAUAAGCCUGGGAAACUGGGUCUAAUACCGAAUACACCUCGCUGGCCGCAUGGUCUGGUGGGGGAAAGCUUUUGCGGUGUGGGAUGGGCCCGCGGCCUAUCAGCUUGUUGGUGGGGUGAUGGCCUACCAAGGCGACGACGGGUAGCCGGCCUGAGAGGGUGACCGGCCACACUGGGACUGAGAUACGGCCCAGACUCCUACGGGAGGCAGCAGUGGGGAAUAUUGCACAAUGGGCGCAAGCCUGAUGCAGCGACGCCGCGUGGGGGAUGACGGCCUUCGGGUUGUAAACCCCUUUCAGCACAGACGAAGCGCGAGUGACGGUAUGUGCAGAAGAAGGACCGGCCAACUACGUGCCA